CCACUUCAACAGAACUCAGCGCUACACUCCUCUAACUGCUUUCCUGUUUGAAAAGGAUGUAAGAUAGACAUCCUUCCCACCAAGAAAUGAUCAAUUCAGGGAGGCAUUUCUUGGGGUCACCUUUCUAGGAGGAGGUGACUUGAGAUAGUAGGUGGAAAAACAAAGGCUUUGGCGUCGUGCACACGGGGUUCCAGCCUCUGCUCGCGUCACACACCCGCUCUGUGACACUGAACACUGAACACAUCAACAGACCUCGGCGUGGUCGCGUCUUUAAGAUGCAGACAACAGUACCUACCCAAUAACGUAUUUUUGAGGAGCUCCCCUGGAGAUCAUAUUCAUCUCUGUCUCGUUUUCUUCCCUCCCUCUUUCCCUUCCUUUCAUUCUCUCCUUCAUUUUCUUUCCUUCCUCCUUCAUUCCUCAUCUUUCUUCCCUUUUUUUAAAUUGAGGUAUAACUUUCACAUAAUACACUGCACAGAUCUUAAGAGAACAGCUGGGUGAACUUUUACACAUGUAAUCAGCUCCCAGAUCAAGAUAUAGGAUAUUGAAAAUAUACCUCAUCAUCCCAGGUGUCCACCUGCUCCUUCCCAGUUAAUACUUAUCACCCCAGAGGUAACCAGUAUUCUGGCUUCUAUUACUGUGUAUUAAUUUUGCCUGUUCUUAAACUUCAUAUAAUUGCAGCCAAAUAGUGUGCCUUCUCCCAUCUGGUUUCUUUCACCCAACGUAAUAUCUGUAAGAUUCAUCCAUGGUAUAUGCGUACAUCAGUAGUUUGUUUACUAUUGGGUAGUAUCCUAUUGUAUGAAAUAUACAACAAUUAAUUUAUCCGUUCCACCAUUGACAGGCAUUUUGGUUUUCAGUUUUCAGUUAUUAGGAAUGAAGGUGCUGUGAACAUUCAUAUGGUCUUUUGGUGAGUACAUGCACACAAUCUUGGGUUUAUACAGAUGAGUGGACAUUUUAUGUCAUAGGAUAAGUAUAUGUUUAGUUUUAAUAGACACUGCUUAGCAGUUUCCCCCCCAAAGUUGAAUUGAUAUAUGAAAGUUAGUUACUUCACAUCAUUGCCAACCGUUGGCAUUAACAGUUUUUUUUUUUUCUUUUUUGCGGUACGUGGGCCCCUCACUGUUGCGGCCUCUCCCGUUGCGGAGCACAGGCUUCGGACGCGCAGGCUCAGCAGCCAUGGCUCACGGGCCCAGCCGCUCCGCGGCAUGUGGGAUCUUCCCGGACCGGGGCAUGAACCCGCGUCCCCUGCAUCGGCAGGCGGACUCUCAACCACUGCGCCACCAGGGAAGCCCCGGCAUUAACAGUUUUUAAAACAAUUUCUUGCACCCCGACCAAGUGCAAGUCCUGCAUCUUCACAUCAUUUUGUGGAUUCUGUCUUCUCUCGCACUAGGCUAUGAGCCUCUCAAGAGUACAUGCUGUCUCUCUUACCCAUCUUUUAAAAAUCUCUAGCUCUUUGUACAUGGGAAAUGCGGGACCAUCGUCUCUCGUGAUGCUGGGCAGUGACAGCGAGUGCUGAAUGUGUUUCACUUUUGCAACAUCAUAAAGUGGAAAAAUUGGGACACGGGUUCGAGCCCUGGUACAGGAAGAUCCCACAUGUCACGGAGCCACUAAGCCGGUGCAUCACAACUACUGAGCCUGUGCUCUAGAGCCCGUGAGCCACAACUACUGAGCCCGUGUGCCACAACUACUGAAGCCUGCGCACUUAGAGCCCGUGCUCCCCAACAAGAGAAGCCACCGCAAUGAGAAGCCCGUGCACCGGCACGAAGAACAGCCCCCGCUCGCCACAACUAGAGAAAGCCCGCGCACAGCAACGAAGACCCAACACAGCCAAACAUAAAUAAAUAUUUAAAAUGUGUUA